UGGGGCGUAGCCAAGCGGUAAGGCACACGGCUUUGGACCGUGCAUCCGCAGGUUCGAAUCCUGCCGCCCCAGCCA
rnacentral:tRNA from 1 species